rnacentral:lncRNA from 1 species
UGGCAGAUUCCAAGAGUGACAAGGGUGAUAAUUUUGCGCCAAUGGUAAGAACGGGAUAUCGAAAUUUGGUUCAUCGAGGCAUUUUUGUAUUCAACGCUUGAAAGAAACACAUGUCCGUAUAUCAUGUCUGUUUAAGGAGUAGAUUGUGUACUUGUGUUACAGGGGAAGAGAGGGAGGCCGACACGCGCCAAGUCUGCUAAGAGCAAGACGUGGUGUAACACGGAGUUUGUUUACGGCGACAACAUCAACAUUAGUAGCAGUAGUGAGAGCGAUAGCGAGGGAAACAAAGAUGCUGAUUAUAAUCCUACGGUAUGGUCCUAUAUGGACCAUUUUAAAUUGCUUGACUGAAGACUUUUGUCAUUCAAAUCUUGAUCACAGUUGUUUGUAAGCAGAUUAUUUUUUAUGAAGCAAUUUGUGUACUUGUGUUACAGAGGAAGACAGGUAGGCUGGUACGCGCCAAGUCUGUCAAGAGUAAUAUGUGGCGUAAACCGGAGUUUG